rnacentral:rRNA from 1 species
AACGUAGGAGACAAACGUUAUCCGGAGUUACUGGGCGUAAAGGGCGUGCAGGUGGUCAUUUAAGUUCGGCGUGAAAGCUCCUGGCUAAACCGGGAGAGGUCGUCGGAGACUGGAUGGCUAGAGGGUGAUAGAGGCGGGUGGAAUUCCGGGUGUAGUGGUGAAAUGCGUAGAGAUCCGGAGGAACACCAGUGGCGAAGGCGACCCGCUGGGUCACACCUGACACUGAGACGCGACAGCAUGGGGAGCGAACGGG